UUUUAUUAGAACAGCAACAACCAGCUUCUUAUCAUCUAGACAUGCUUAUCUGUCAUGUUUAUAAGAGCAGUUCUCGUAGAAUUACUCAAAACAGGAAGUACAUUAAUUGGUCUACAAUAAGAACCUAAAAAGUCCGUUUUUCCAUUUAAGCUUGUGAAACUAAGCUAAAAGGGAAAUUGUGGAAAAAAAAACAACAACAAAAAAAAACAA